rnacentral:sRNA from 1 species
UGAUUUACUAGUAGUAUCCGGCUUAGC